GUUGGGCUAGCCGAACUUCUCCGCUGGUGUAGUUGACUAUCCUCAAUUUAAUACUUUAUUUGAGAAAUUAUUUACUUUGCGUGUGUUUUGAUAGGACACCAUUAAGGAAUGUUGGUUUUGCUCUUCUCCGAGUAAUUAAUGGGUUUAUUGGGAAGUUAAGUGAUAUUCUCCGGACUCGUGGGUUCCUGUGGCUUCUGAUUUCUGAAAGCAGGUAAGCCACUGACUAACGCACAUUGCGCCUGUUCUCCACUCCACUGUGCGUGUGACAGCGGCUAACCAGCUUUUGGAUGUGUGCCUGACUCACUGGGACUGUCCCACUGGAGACUCCUGAACGGACACAGCCAGGGGAGCGACACUUCUGGCUCCACUGGCCCUCGACGAGUCUUUUUGUUCCUGUUACUCAACUGGUAAUUCUCUGUGCGUGAAAUCAAGCCUGUUCGAUUCCCAUGAGCACGUGUCCCGAAUAAAUGCACGGUGAUCAAUGUAUACAGUAAAUGUACAUGUUGAAUGACACCAGACAGUCACAGUUGUUUUUUCUGGUACUUUUAUAUGCAAUAAUAAUGUUACUAAUAUAUUUUGCAUGCAAUCUUCAGCAGCUCUGAACUUCUGAACCUGUAGGUACAGUAAUACAAGUCCAGUUACAGUAGCUGUGGGAGUGUGUGUCUCUGUGUCAAUUGAAGCAACUUUGAAUCAACAGUGUGACAGUCAGUGUUAUCUUCCAUUCAUUUAUCAUUAAACUUUCAUUUUGUUCACUCUCUUCAGUUUUGGUUUUGUACAUUAUGUGGUUUAGACGUCGAGGUUUUCAUGAUACAGUAUGCCAAUCAAAUUAAAUAUAGAAAUUACAAACUAAAUCUAAACGUUUCCAUAGUAUCUCACAAAAGUGAGUACACCCCUCACAUUUCAGCAAACAUUUUAGUAUAUAUUUUUAAGAGACAAUAUAGAAAUUAAAUUUGGAUAUGUUUAGACUAGAGUAGCCUAAUCACUGUACAGCUUGUAGCAGUGUAUAUUUACUGUCCUCUGAAAAUAACUCAACAUACACUGUAGCUGCAUGGCAACAAAAGUGAACAUGUCAAAACUCUCCAAGUGUCAAUAUUUUGUGUGAGCACCAGUGUUAUCUAGCCAUUGUAUUAUUUAAUUUAGUUAUAUAAAAAAUCCUAAUGUUUCAGAAUACAAAUAUGCUUUUAGCAACAGAAUAUUAAAGGUUAU